rnacentral:tRNA from 1 species
GCGGGUAUGGUGGAAUUGGCAGACACGCUAGACUUAGGAUCUAGUGGGAAACCGUGCAGGUUCAAGUCCUGUUACCCGCACCA